rnacentral:tRNA from 1 species
GCGGAAGUGGCGGAAUUGGUAGACGCAUCAGAUUUAGGUUCUGGCGCCGCAAGGUGUGAGAGUUCAAGUCUCUCCUUCCGCACCA